AAUGAACGCUGGCGGCGUGCCUAACACAUGCAAGUCGAACGCGAAAGUCCUUCGGGAUGAGUAAAGUGGCGCACGGGUGAGUAACACGUAGGUGACCUGCCCUUCGAUGGGGGAUAACUCGAAGAAAUUCGAGCUAAUACCGCAUACGUACUGCAAAUUUGAAAGUAGCAGUAGAAAGAAUGCCUCUACUUGUAAGCAUUCAUCGAUGGAUGGGCCUGCGGUACAUUAGCUUGUUGGUGGGGUAACGGCCUACCAAGGCAACGAUGUAUAACUGGUUUAAGGGAAGGGUCAGUCAGAAUGGAACGGAGACACGGUCCAGACUCCUACGGGAGGCAGCAGUGGGGAAUAUUGCGCAAUGGGGGAAACCCUGACGCAGCAACGCCGCGUGAGUGAGGAAGGCCUUCGGGUUGUAAAGCUCUGUCAUAUGGGAAAAAUGGUAGUUGGUCUAAUAGGCCGAUUAUUUGAUGGUACCAUAAAAGGAAGCACCGGCUAACUUCGUGCCAGCCGCCGCCGUAAGAC
rnacentral:rRNA from 1 species